GUGUGUCAGUGUGUGUAUGUUUGUCAGUGUGUCUGUGUGUCAGUAUGUCUGUCAUACUGACAUACACACAGACAUACUAACAAACACAAACACACAG